UGCUGCCAAAGAAAAUUAUAAUCUUAUAUUGUAAUACGCGAUUUAUAGUGAUGGAAUCUGAUUAUCUAAUAAUUUGUUUCCUUCCUUUUAAAAUAUGUUGCAGAAAGUUGUGUUCUUUUUGUUUUGACAUCAUCAGGCAAGGUCGACUUUUUUAGGAUAUUACAAAAGGAAAUUCCGAAGAAAUUACCUAAGGUAAAAUCAGUACUCAUAAUUCGA
rnacentral:lncRNA from 1 species